CGCCUUGACGAACAGCCAUUUUGUUUUCUCUCCUUCCCGUUUCUGUGCCGGUCACCCUGCUUGUUUGGUGUUUGUCAUUUUAAGAAGUAUUAUUCAUGAAAAGUAGCGGGUUGUGAACUACAAAAUAGGUGACUCAAAGAUGUCUCGGUACCGAGAUUCUGGUAAUGCAGACUGCAAGAUUUAUGUUGGAGAUUUAGGAUCAUCCGCUUCAAAACAAGAUUUGGAAGAAGCAUUUUCUUAUUAUGGACCGAUCCGUAAUGUUUGGGUGGCCAGAAACCCACCCGGCUUUGCAUUUGUUGAAUUUGAAGACCCCAGAGAUGCAGAGGAUGCAGUACGAGGUUUGGACGGAAGGACUGUGUGUGGCCGACGUGUGAGGGUAGAGAUGUCUAACGGAGCUCGUAAGAGUGGUUAUCGAGGUCCGCCACCUCGCCGCAGCCGCCCGUUCCACCCGGAGGAUCGCUGCUAUGAGUGUGGCGAGCGUGGACAUUACGCUCGGGACUGCACACGCUACCGAGGCCGAGGAAGGAGAAGGUCAUAUAGUCGUAGCAGGUCUCGCUCACGCUCUCGUGACCGCCGCACUCGUAGCCGCAGCGCCUCUCGCAGUAGAUCCCGUGGCCGCAGCAAGUCACGCACACCCAAGGACCGCAGCAAGAGCAAGUCCAGGUCCAGGUCCCGUUCGCGCAGCAGGUAAACAAAUCGCCCAGAGCCAACUGAACAUCUAGUAUAACGUUCCAAACCAUCUGCAAAAAAAGUCAAAUUGCUGUACUCACUCAUUUGGAACAACUGGAUGUCCAUGAAGUUAUACCACCUCAUUCAGUGUAGUUUUACCUUUAUGGCAUAAGUAUUAGAAUAUCAAUGUUGUAUUUUGACUAUUUUGUACUAAGUUUGUUUCAACAUGCUUGUAAUCAUUUUAAUUUUUUAUAGUUUGUCAGUUCUAAGUUUUGUUCUCAAGUGGGGAGGAAAUUAAUGUCUUUAAAUGCAAUAAAGGACUCCAUUUACCUAAUGAAGUAUAAUGAUUUGAAGUUUUUUAAUAUUGAAAAAUAUUGACAACUCUCAUACAACUUCCUGUGUCGAUAAAUUGGGUUUUUUCCUCAUGCUAGAUUCCCAAUAUUCUUAUACUUAAAGAUAUUAGUUAUCUCUACAUUUGAACAGUUUUUGACAAGGUUUAAUCCUACCUAAUAUACGACCUAAAUAGGCAUAUUGUAUUUUUUGUCUUGAUUUUAAAUAAUAACU